UACGUAGGCAGCAAGCGUUGUUCGGAUUUACUGGGCGUAAAGGGUGCGUAGGCGGCUUGGUAAGUGUGGUGUGAAAUCUCCCGGCUCAACUGGGAGGGUGCGCUACAAACUGCCGGGCUAGAGUGCGGGAGAGGAGAGUGGAAUUCCUGGUGUAGCGGUGAAAUGCGUAGAUAUCAGGAGGAACACCGGUGGUGUAAACGGCUCUCUGGACCGUAACUGACGCUGAGGCACGAAAGCGUGGGUAGCAAACAGG
rnacentral:rRNA from 1 species